rnacentral:rRNA from 1 species
UACGUAGGGUGCAAGCGUUGUCCGGAAUUAUUGGGCGUAAAGAGCUCGUAGGCGGUCUGUCGCGUCGGAUGUGAAAACCCAGGGCUCAACCCUGGGCCUGCAUUCGAUACGGGCAGACUAGAAUUCGGUAGGGGAGUCUGGAAUUCCUGGUGUAGCGGUGAAAUGCGCAGAUAUCAGGAAGAACACCCGUGGCGAAGGCGGCUCUCUGGAACGCAACUGACGCUGAGACGCGAAAGCGUGGGGAGCAAACAGG